AGUUGUCAUUUUCUUGGUGGGGUAGGAAGGUAAGUCGGGAAGGGUGUCGCUGAGGGAUGGAGAAUCGAUUGGAAAGGGGAGACUCAGCAGGAUCCCUCCCUUACCUGUUCAUUUCCAGAUCUUUUCACACCUUGGGGACUCCUCCCUUAAACAAGGGGGCGGGGGAGAGACUAUUUUACUAAAGGAAGGGUGACCGUCCUGUAAUCAGGGUUCAGGUCUCUUUCCCUUUUCUCCUCUCUGCAUUGGCCCUCUUCAUGCCAAGGUCUAAAGUCAGCUCCCUUUAACUAGGGUGUGGGUCUUUCCCUGCCUUUCACAAGAGAACACUGCCACUGAGAAGGUAGUUCUAAAAACCAGCCUCUUGAGAGGGUUCAGGGUUUCUCCUACUAGCUGGCCCAUGUCCUCCUCACUCAUUCACUCAGCCAAGCCAAAGCCAGCGUCCUCUGCAUCCACCUGCAGCCGCGUUCCGCCGCAAGCUCUCCUGCUCUCUGCCAGAGAUCGGUGCCGAAAAGUAGGAAUUAGGCAACUCAAAGGACAAAAUGGACAAGACGACAGAAGCACCAAAGAAACCGCAGGAAGAGGGAAGACAAAGCCACGGCCAAAGGCUGAGUACACUGCACACACCGCACCCCUCUACCGAGGGCUGGGGAUCGACACUUUGCCCCACACGCUUAAUCCCCCUUGAAGUGCCCAUUGAAAGGACCUCCCUGUAAACAGGGAUCAAGGUCCAUUCCUUGCCCACCAAAAUGCUCUAUGGGUCCCUUCCAUAGCCGAGGCUGAGCGACCCCCCUUUAAGAAGGGUUGAGGUCUCUGUGGGUUUCAGCUCCUGAGGGCCUAGCCUUUAAAACGCCCUGUGCCAUUGACCUCUCCCUGUAAGAAGGGUGCAGGUCUCCCCUUUCUAGCUUGUCUUGGGCCGUUGGCACUCGCUGGGCAACGAGACCACCCUCUCCUGAGGGAACGGAGGUCUCUCCUUCACUGCGCUUUUCGCUCUGGCCCAUUGGAACGCCCCUGGCUUCGGGACCACCCUGUAAGGAGGGUUUGGGUCUCCUUUGCCACGCCAAUUAAGCCACAGGUCACUUUGACACGCCAGGAAAAUGACUGCCCUGUAACCAGGGUGUAAGGUCUUCUUCCUCUCACGCUUAAACUAGGGGAGCCUUUUUGUGCCUGUGGCUGAGCGACCCCCCUUUAAGAAGGGUUGAGGUCUCUGUGGGUUUCAACUCCUGAGGGCCUAGCCUUUAAAAUGCUCUGUGCCAUUGACCUCUCCCUGUAAGAAGGGUGCAGGUCUCCCCUUUCUAGCUUGUCUUGGGCCGUUGGCACUCGCUGGGCAACGAGACCACCCUCUCCUGAGGGAACGGAGGUCUCUCCUUCACUGCGCUUUUCGCUCUGGCCCAUUGGAAUGCCCCUGGCUUCGGGACCACCCUGUAAGGAGGGUUUGGGUCUCCUUUGCCACGCCAAUUAAGCCACAGGUCACUUUGACACGCCAGGAAAAUGACUGCCCUGUAACCAGGGUGUAAGGUCUUCUUCCUCUCACGCUUAAACUAGGGGAGCCUUUUUGUGCCUGUGGCUGAGCGACCCCCCUUUAAGAAGGGUUGAGGUUCUGUUUCUCUUAGUCACAGUAAAAUCCCCCAGAAUGAUUUCUACUUGGCUUUUUUGAGAUUUGAAGUGAAAUCUUACUUGUGACCUAUCCCGCUCACAUGGAACAUGGUGUGGCGAAGGGCCGGCUGUAAGGGGAUGGUGGAGGCCGUGGAAAAUUCGCCCCUUUUCUCAAAAAAGCCAAGAAAUGGCCCAACCAUGCUAAUGUCACAAAGUCUGGAAAUAAACAGGUGAGGUUUGGGAUACAGACCCUCACUUCCACGUAAUCCUUCCUCAAGUCCUCUUGCCCUGCCCAAUUUACACUGCUCAACCAACCACAACUUUGACCCUUUGUUUUCUUGUGCACAAGAAAGACACGGUUGGACUGAUGAGUGUUAACUGUAGAGAUUCGGACAGCUGCCUUAGUCGGGUCCGAAUUCCAGGCCUUGCGUCUCUUUGCUGAGAGACAGAGGAGAUUCCUAGGGCUAUGUUUGAAGGGCUUGAUGUGGCUCACGUGGUGUAGGUAGGUGUGGUGGUAUUCAGAGCCGGCACGUGGGUGCACCUAACCCUACUAACAGGACUGCGUCACAAGGAAGAGGUGUCUUUUUUUCUGGUCAAGGUUACGGGGCACAAAGUUGUCAUUUUCUUGGUGGGGUAGGAAGGUAAGUCGGGAAGGGUGUCGCUGAGGGAUGGAGAAUCGAUUGGAAAGGGGAGACUCAGCAGGAUCCCUCCCUUACCUGUUCAUUUCCAGAUCUUUUCACACCUUGGGGACUCCUCCCUUAAACAAGGGGGCGGAGGAGAGACUAUUUUACUAAAGGAAGGGUGACCGUCCUGUAAUCAGGGUUUAGGUCUCUUUCCCUUUUCUCCUCUCUGCAUUGGCCCUCUUCAUGCCAAGGUCUAAAGUCAGCUCCCUUUAACUAGGGUGUGGGUCUUUCCCUGCCUUUCACAAGAGAACACUGCCACUGAGAAGGUAGUUCUAAAAACCAGCCUCUUGAGAGGGUUCAGGGUUUCUCCUACUAGCUGGCCCAUGUCCUCCUCACUCAUUCACUCAGCCAAGCCAAAGCCAGCGUCCUCUGCAUCCACCUGCAGCCGCGUUCCGCCGCAAGCUCUCCUGCUCUCUGCCAGAGAUCGGUGCCGAAAAGUAGGAAUUAGGCAACUCAAAGGACAAAAUGGACAAGACGACAGAAGCACCAAAGAAACCGCAGGAAGAGGGAAGACAAAGCCACGGCCAAAGGCUGAGUACACUGCACACACCGCACCCCUCUACCGAGGGCUGGGGAUCGACACUUUGCCCCACACGCUUAAUCCCCCUUGAAGUGCCCAUUGAAAGGACCUCCCUGUAAACAGGGAUCAAGGUCCAUUCCUUGCCCACCAAAAUGCUCUAUGGGUCCCUUCCAUAGCCGAGGCUGAGCGACCCCCCUU